rnacentral:rRNA from 1 species
UACGUAGGGGGCAAGCGUUGUCCGGAUUUAUUGGGCGUAAAGAGCGUGUAGGCGGCUUUACAGGUCCGUUGUGAAAACUCGAGGCUCAACCUCGAGACGCCGGUGGAAACCGUAAAGCUAGAGUCCGGAAGAGGAGAGUGGAAUUCCUGGUGUAGCGGUGAAAUGCGCAGAUAUCAGGAAGAACACCCGUGGCGAAGGCGGUUCUCUGGGACGGUACUGACGCUGAGACGCGAAAGCGUGGGGAGCGAACAGG